UCGAGAAUAUUCCACAAUGGGCGAAAGCCUGAUGGAGCGACACCGCGUGGAGGAUGAAGCAUCUCGGUGUGUAAACUCCUUUUCUACGGGAGAAAGCGCCUUAUGGCGUGUGAUAGUACCGUAGGAAUAAGUGGCUGCAAACUUCGUGCCAGCAGCCGCGGUAAUACGAAGGCCACAAGCGUUAUCCGGAUUUAUUGGGCGUAAAGGGCGCGUAGGGGGCUUUGCCAGUCCACGGUAAAAUUUCGGGGCUCAACUCCGAACCUGCCGCGGAAACAGCAAGGCUAGAGGGUGUUAGAGGCAGAUGGAACGCACGGUGUAGGGGUGAAAUCCGUUGAUAUCGUGCGGAACACCAAAGGCGAAGGCAUUCUGCUGGGACAUUCCUGACCCUGAGGCGCGAAAGCGUGGGGAGCAAAAAGG
rnacentral:rRNA from 1 species